rnacentral:rRNA from 1 species
UACGGGGGGGGCAAGCGUUGUUCGGAAUUACUGGACGUAAAGGGCUCGUAGGUGGCCAACUAAGUCAGACGUGAAAUCCCUCGGCUUAACCGGGGAACUGCGUCUGAUACUGGAUGGCUUGAGUGUGGGAGAGGGAUGCGGAAUUCCAGGUGUAGCGGUGAAAUGCGUAGAUAUCUGGAGGAACACCGGUGGCGAAGGCGGCAUCCUGGACCAUUACUGACACUGAAUAGCGAAAGCCAGGGGAGCAAACGGG